AAGUCGUAACAAGGUUUCCAUAGGUGAACCUGCCGAACCAUUAGCUGGUUGCAGUUCAAUGGCACUUGUCAGAGACUGUAACCGCAUGGGUAGGUCUCAAUGUCUGACGGACUUUGAGCCGUCAGCUAUUUACCAACUACUUCAUCAUUGAAUUUGACUGACUUAUCUUUAUAAUUAAGAAAAUUUUUAGCAAUGGAUCUCUAGGCUCUC
rnacentral:misc_RNA from 1 species